UACGAAGGGGGCUAGCGUUGUUCGGAAUUACUGGGCGUAAAGCGCGUGUAGGUGGAAUGGCAAGCAAGAGGUGAAAUCCCAGAGCUCAACUUUGGAAUUGCCUUUUGAACUGCCAUUCUGGAGUAUUGGAGGGGAGUGCGGAAUUCCUAAUGUAGAGGUGAAAUUCGUAGAUAUUAGGAGGAACACCGGUGGCGAAGGCGGCACUCUGGACAAUUACUGACACUGAGUCGCGAAAGCGUGGGGAGCAUACAGG
rnacentral:rRNA from 1 species